rnacentral:rRNA from 1 species
GAUGAACGCUGGCGGCGUGCCUAAUACAUGCAAGUCGAGCGAACGGACGAGAAGCUUGCUUCUCUGAUGUUAGCGGCGGACGGGUGAGUAACACGUGCAUAACCUACCUAUAAGACUGGGAUAACUUCGGGAAACCGGAGCUAAUACCGGAUAAUAUUUUGAACCGCAUGGUUCAAAAGUGAAAGACGGUCUUGCUGUCACUUAUAGAUGGAUCCGCGCUGCAUUAGCUAGUUGGUAAGGUAACGGCUUACCAAGGCAACGAUGCAUAGCCGACCUGAGGGGGUGAUCGGCCACACUGGAACUGAGACACGGUCCAGACUCCUACGGGAGGCAGCAGUAGGGAAUCUUCCGCAAUGGGCGAAAGCCUGACGGAGCAACGCCGCGUGAGUGAUGAAGGUCUUCGGAUCGUAAAACUCUGUUAUUAGGGAAGAACAUAUGUGUAAGUAACUGUGCACAUCUUGACGGUACCUAAUCAGAAAGCCACGGCUAACUACGUG